CCUACGGGAGGCAGCAGUGGGGAAUAUUGCACAAUGGGCGAAAGCCUGAUGCAGCAACGCCGCGUGAACGAUGAAGGUCUUCGGAUCGUAAAGUUCUGUUGCAGGGGAAGAUAAUGACGGUACCCUGUGAGGAAGCCCCGGCUAACUACGUGCCAGCAGCCGCGGUAAUACGUAGGGGGCUAGCGUUAUCCGGAUUUACUGGGCGUAAAGGGUGCGUAGGUGGUCCUUCAAGUCGGUGGUUAAAGGCUACGGCUCAACCGUAGUAAGCCGCCGAAACUGGAGGACUUGAGUGCAGGAGAGGAAAGUGGAAUGCCCAGUGUAGCGGUGAAAUGCGUAGAUAUUGGGAGGAACACCAGUAGCGAAGGCGGCUUUCUGGACUGCAACUGACACUGAGGCACGAAAGCGUGGGUAGCAAACAGGAUUAGAUACCCCAGUAGUC
rnacentral:rRNA from 1 species